rnacentral:lncRNA from 1 species
AACCCACCUCCCGAUAGCUAUCUAGCAUUUAUAUUAUUGGUAUGGUGUCUUAUCCUGCAUAUGCAUGUGACAGUAGGGAGUUGUUGCUGGUUCGCCUGGGGCGUAAAACCCACCUCCCAAUAGCUGUCUUGUUGAUGAUUCAGCAUAUUGACACCUGAUUUGUAUAUUCCAGCAUUAUGAUCUGUUGAAUAUAUUCAUGAGUAGUAUAUAUGUUUACUCGAUUAUUCCAUAUAUGCUUCAGAUGAGUUGAUUGUGAUUGUGGUGAUUUUGAUGAUUUACUCCAUAUUCUUUAUGUUGAGUUCAUGUUCAUCUUGUUAUUGAUCUUGAGAUUUCACCUCGAGCCAUGAUUAUAUUUUGUCUCAUGUGCAUAGUACUCUCUACUCCACUCACUGAGUAUUUAUAUACUCACUUCCCAGUUUGGUGUUUUUGAUUGCAGGGCAGGUAUUGUAUAGAGAAGAGCAGGGUUAGAGAUUGCCUGCUAGCUGUGCCGCUCCAUAGUAUAGUAUAGUAUAAUGUAGAUAGAGGCCUAUACCUUUUGUUGUAUUAUAAACCUUCUAUUGUAUAUAGUGCAUAGUUACAGUCAUAGAUCCUGUUGUGGAUAUGGGUUGGACCAUGGAUGGAUUGGAAAGCAGGUAUAUAUAUAUAUGUGUGCAAAUCAGUUGUGUGCCUGUGAUAAUGUAUUGCUAUAUAUUGUCCAGGUUUAUUAUGUGACAGAUUAUGUGAUUAAUGCUCUGACAGGUAGUGUGUUGUAUGUAUUGAGAUAAUCCUGACAGGUCAUNNNNNNNNNNNNNNNNNNNNNNNNNNNGUAUCAUGCCAAAUUUUUCAAGAUCUAUUGAUGAUUGAUAGGUAGUAGGGUUCUACGCGGUGGCUGGUGGCCUUAUGCCUACCCGCACCCUAGGACCGUCGCGGCGGCCCGCCGGAAACGGGGCGGGGGUCGUGACACUCGAGCUUAGAGGCUCCUAGGUGAAGAACACCAGCCGAGACGCUACACGAGUAGAAGUAGAGGCCCAGGUGCCCCGAGCUAUCAAGGACCCAUUUGAUAG